AUUACUAUACUAAAAGUUGUAACGACUUUUAUAUCAUAUAUAUAGUUAUUCCACUACUUUGUCAUAAUAGUGUUAUUAUUUUAAAUGAACAAAUAUAAUUUAAUGAUUCGCUUGUGAAUUGUGAUCAGAUGCGUAUAAUGUCAAUUUUUCUUAAAGAAAAAAGUUCUAGCAUUUUAGAAUGUGUUCAUAUUAUUUUCAAUAUUACCAAGUAGGCUUGUGUUAGAAAUGUUUGAAGGUGUCGGCUUAAGUGUCCAAGAAAUGUCAGCGAAGUGUCGAGAAAAUGUCCAAAAUAAUAAAAAAAUUUAUUUAUAUUUACCGACAAGUAUAUGAAGAGUUGGACACUUGUCCACAGAAUAUCCGACAUGAACACAUCACAGAUACGGCUCCUUUGUAGAAGUGUCUGUGCUUCAUUGCUAACUUCUUACUUUCAUGGUUGAAUAAGAAAAAUAGUGUUAAUAGUUAUGCCAAUUGCCUCCUGACUCGAAUAGUGUGUGUCAUAGUUGUCAAAGGCGCCCGCCUGAGGCGCAAGGCUCCUACAGGUGCCAUCAUAUCGCGUUUAAGGACUUUAAGGCAACUGGGUUGAAGAGGGCACGCGCCUCUGCUACUAAGGCACAAGGCCACAGGCGCAAUCGUCUCCUUUUAUUGUUAUUUCUUAUUUGUUUAAUAUGUUUAUUUUAUGUUAUUUGUUUAUUAUUACUGUUUUUUACAAAACCAAAACGAAUAAAAUAAAAGGCAAUAGGAAAGUGAUUUGAAAGCAAAGAGACUGAAGCAAAAGGAAAGGGCUAGGGCUUGCGACGAAUCUGCUGACUGCUCCUCACGAAUCUGCCUCUUCUUCUUCUCACGAAUCUCUCUUUUUUUCUCUCUUCUUCGGCAGAACUUAUUUGAGUUCUCUCUUUUUUUCUCUCUUCUUCGGCAGAACUUAGUUGAGUUUGGCAUUUAUUUUUCCAACUUACAGAUUUUUGCCCUCUUUUGUUUCGUGUCUGGAAUUUCCUGCUUUUGCUUCUUUAUGUGAAAUUACUUGAAUUUGGGAUUAAUAUAAAGUACUGGGCCCUGUUUCUCUUAAAAAAUUGGGUUCUAAUUUUAUUUUUAAUUUUUAAUUUUUAUGAAAUCUGUUUUAUUUUUUUUAUGAAAUUUGUCUAUUUUUUGUAUGAAAUCUGCAGCUCUGUAUUUUUUAUUUAUGAAAUCUGUGUAUUUUAUUUAUUUAUUUAUUUUUUUAUGAAAUCUGCAACUCUAUUAUUAUUAUUUUUUUUAUGAACUGAACUGGAAGUUUGGAACUGGACUGCAGGCUGCAGCUCUGUCUUUUUUUUUUUAAUACUGAACUGAACUGGAAGUAUGAAAUCUGCAGCUCUGUAUUUCAAUAUUGCUUUGAAAUUGAAAUCUGAUUUUGCUAAUUGACAUGAAAUCUGGUUUAUUUUGUUACAAAAUGAUGUUAUGGUUAUUGAUGACGAGGAUGAUAUUUAGAUUCGUUGGUGUUGUCUUCUUAGGAAGAAAUGAUGUCUGUUUGUUUUAGUUUUAUCUCAUAAUUCUCCUUAGUUGACUUUUGCAUCUUUAUGUUAAUAUGUUUGAUUAUUCACUGUUGAACUCAAGUACUUGAUUUAGUUGGCUUUGGCAUCUUUAUGAUGAAUAUUGAACUUAAGUAAUUCAUUUAGUUGACUUUUGCUUCUUUAUAUAUACUAUUGCAUCUUUAAUACUUUAUUGGGUGAGUUUUGUUUUUUUUUUUCAACAUGCGCCUUGCUUCAGUCGGGUGCGCGCCUCGCCAUGCGCCUCAGGCUCCAGGAGGCCUUUGCCCUUUUUGUGCGCCUUGAGCCUUUAACAAAUAUGAUUAUGUUCCAUGAUGCCUCCUUUAGGGAAAUAGUUUGAUGAACGUGCUUCUUUCUUCUUGUUAUGCAAAUGCAUUGAAUUAAGUGUACUAACAGUUCAAUAAUCAUGAUACACUUUCAAUCUUCUCUUCUUCUUCUUCUUCUUCUUCUUUUUUUUAUUUUUAUUUUUAUUUUUUUUUCAGUAAGGAACUUUAAAUUGUCCAUGCUGUUUGACGAUGAAGAGACAUUUAGCUUCUCUUUGAUUAAUAAAGAAUUUUCAGUCUAGUAUGGUUUAGGUGGGGAGGUGACAGCAAAAGGCGAUGUAUACAGCUAUGGAAUCAUCGCUAGAGAUGUUUACCGGAAAAGGCCCACCAGCAGCAUGUUUUUGGAUGAUUUGAGCCUCCAGAACUACGCCAGGAUGGCCCUCCCAGCGCGGGUGACAUAAAUAGUCGAUCCCCUUCUAGUCGAUCCCCUUCUAGUACCGGAGCAGGAAGAUGAGUUGAAAAGAGAUGAAAAAAGUGGAAGAGGUGACAUUGGCGCAUUAGAGAACUGUUUGGCAAUGAUUCUUCAAAUUGGAGUCAUAUGUUGUGCUGAAUUGCCAAGACAAAGAAUGUUUAUUAGAGAUGUUCUUGCAGAACUGCAUGAUAUCAGGAAUGCAUAUUUAAGUAUUGGAGCAGAGAAGGAGAAGAAAAUACAGAAUUAAGUAGUAGCUUAGAACACAUAACAUAGAGACUUCUGUAUAUGUUUAAUGUUUUUGUGAAACAGAAACACUUUUUAUAUCUAUCAUUCAAACAAAAAGGCUGAGAAGUUUGCACUGA